rnacentral:rRNA from 1 species
AACGCUGGCGGCGUGCCUAACACAUGCAAGUCGAACGGGAAAACAGGGGCAACUCUGUGAGUACAGUGGCGUACGGGUGAGUAACACGUGACUACCUACCCUCGAGUGGGGGAUAACCCCGGGAAACCGGGGCUAAUACCGCAUAACAUCGAGAGAUCAAAGGAGCAAUCCGCUUGAGGAGGGGGUCGCGGCUGAUUAGCUAGUUGGUGAGGUAACGGCUCACCAAGGCGAUGAUCGGUAGCCGGCCUGAGAGGGCGCACGGCCACACUGGAACUGAAACACGGUCCAGACUCCUACGGGAGGCAGCAGUGGGGAAUUUUGCGCAAUGGGGGAAACCCUGACGCAGCAACGCCGCGUGGAGGAUGAAGUCCCUUGGGACGUAAACUCCUUUCGACCCGGACGAUAAUGACGGUACGGGUGG